UCUAUAAUUGAACCACACAUACUUCUUCCUUAUUUGUCAGUAUAUAUUGUUUUAUCUAGUACUGUUAAAUAUUUAUUGUGUAUGUUUGUUUUUCAGCAGUCAGAUGUUUGUCGUCUGUUGCUACUGGUGUUGCUGUUGGUGUUUUACUCGGUGGAGCAACAGGUGCUUUUAUGAUGUACAUUUGUCUUACUAAAAGGAUGAACAGAAGAUCUGCUAUGAAGAAGUCUGCGGUCUCUGAUCCCAAUGAAGACACAUAUACUGCUCUUGAGCUCAAGUCCAUGACCUCUGACCUCUACGACACACUCACAGUAAGUGAGACGUCAAAGUCAGAUCAUCAUCACAGAUGA
rnacentral:lncRNA from 12 species